GCUGGAGUGCAGUGGCGAGAUCUCGGCUCACCGCAACCUCCGCCUCCCGGGUUCAAGCGAUUCUCCUGCCUCAGCCUCCCGUGUAGCUGGGAUUACAGGUGGUUUCACCCCAACAUCAGCAGGGUGGAGGCGGAGAAGCUGUUCCUAUCCAGAGGUCAGCGUGGGGACUUCCUUGCCAGGCCCAGUGAGAGCAGCCCGGGGGGCUUCACGCUGUCCGUCAGGUAGCUGAAGCAGAGAGAGAAGGCGGCAGGCAUCAGCGUUUUCUUCUAUGAACUUAUAAGAUCAAAGACUUUAAGACUUUCACUAUUUCUUCUACCGCUAUCUACUACGAACUUCAAAGAGGAACCAGGAGUACGGAAGGAGCAUGAAAGUGGACAAGGAACGUGACCAUUGAAGC
rnacentral:lncRNA from 10 species